rnacentral:tRNA from 1 species
AAAGAGACCCACUAAUCAUUCACUGAAAGCGAUUUGCGAAUAAGUAGGUGAAGUAGUCACUUAAGGUCGUUGAGGGUUUAGUGAGUUAAAGUCAUUAAGCAAACAAAGAGACUCGCAAGAGUGUUGAUGAGCGUGAGGUGACCAAUCUUCAAAUUAUCGUGUGUUACGCCAUCAGUUACGCCAUGAAUAGAGGCACCGACUAAAUAACGGGCCUUAAUAACGGGCUAUUAGCUCAGGUGGUUAGAGCGCACCCCUGAUAAGGGUGAGGUCCCUGGUUCGAGUCCAGGAUGGCCCACUUUAGAAAAGCGAAAGUAUGAACGAUGAAUGAUGAGUUUAAAUUUUGCGUUCAUUAUUCCUAAUUCAUUGUUUUUUUUGGGGGUAUAGCUCAGUUGGUAGAGCGCCUGCUUUGCAAGCAGGAUGUCAGCGGUUCGAGUCCGCUUACCUCCACCACGCCAGCCGCUAAGCGAAACGAGAACUAAACGAAACUGAAUCAAAGCAAUCAGCAUCUACUGCUGUAGACGAACUAGGUUAGAGGAAUCAACGUUCGAUACACCAUAGCGUGCUGGUCACUAAAGACCAGUAAGAACCUUGACAACUGCAUAGAAAAAAAUAGAAAGCAAAGGUAGUUCAAAGUCUGAAGAAGACAUUUGAGAAACAAACAGCCCGAUUAGUAGUGCUGUAGAUAGUCAUGAGCGAGUGAAAGCAAGCGAGUGAAUGUCUAGGCGUUGUUAGUUAAGCAAAGUGAUCUCAAAAUUCCAAAGAAG